UGGGAAUUUGGACAAUGGGCGAAAGCCUGAUCCAGCAAUGCCGCGUGUGUGAAGAAGGCCUUCGGGUUGUAAAGCACUUUUGUCCGGAAAGAAAUCCUUGGCUCUAAUACAGUCGGGGGAUGACGGUACCGGAAGAAUAAGCACCGGCUAACUACGUGCCAGCAGCCGCGGUAAUACGUAGGGUGCAAGCGUUAAUCGGAAUUACUGGGCGUAAAGCGUGCGCAGGCGGUUUGCUAAGACCGAUGUGAAAUCCCCGGGCUCAACCUGGGAACUGCAUUGGUGACUGGCAGGCUAGAGUAUGGCAGAGGGGGGUAGAAUUCCACGUGUAGCAGUGAAAUGCGUAGAGAUGUGGAGGAAUACCGAUGGCGAAGGCAGCCCCCUGGCAAGUACUGACGCUCAUGCACGAAAGCGUGGGGAGCAAACGGGAUUAGAUACCCUGGUAGUCCACGCCCUAAACGAUGUCAACUAGUUGUUGGGGAUUCAUUUCCUUAGUAACGUAGCUAACGCGUGAAGUUGACCGCCU
rnacentral:rRNA from 1 species